CCAACUCACUAUCAUGUUCUAUGGGAUGAUAAUGGUUUCAAUUCUGACCGCUUACAGAAGCUUAUAUACAACAUGUGCUUCACUUUUGCACGGUGCACUAAACCGGUUUCACUUGUUCCACCAGUUUACUAUGCAGACCUUGUUGCUUACAGGGGACGGAUGUUCCAAGAGGUGCUUAUGGAGAUGAACUCUCCUAGGUCUACAACUUCAUCUUCUCCAACUGCCUCAUUUCAACAAAGAUUUUAUGAUUUGCACCCUGAUUUGCAGGACAUAAUGUUUUUCGUCUGAUGGCAGACCCGUCAACUUUUUGUUCUCCUUCACCAUUAAUUCCCACUGGGGAGGAGAUGGUUGUCUACAUUUUGGAGAUGCCCAUUUCCAAACGCAUUUGAACCUCCUUUCCGUCGGACAUAGCAAAGGUGUUUGUGCGUGAAUCUAAUGGGGUUUCAUGCUUCUUUUAUUUUCUAUUGUGUGAGUUUAAUCAUUGAUGUCUUAAUGGUUUGGCGUUUGAUUGUGUUUUAUUUACUUUGGGGGAGGCCACUCCCAAGUAUGUCUGCUUAAAUUGUGUGUUUUGUAUUAUGUAUUCUGAGACAAGUUGAAUUUCGUCUUAAUAUAUUUGUGUUUGAGGUAUUUGAUGUCUCUCUUUCAGUUAUUCAAUGUGAUUGCAUUUUCUCACUUCCGUGUUUUUUCCUCAUGGAGCUAACUAAUGGGAAAAUAGACUUGAGGGACCUUAAUAUAUUCAAGUUAAAAACUAGAAAGACUCGCUCCAAAAAUAUAGGAAACAAAAAUACUUUGAAAUACUAGUAUAAGGAUUGCUAAGGAGUUUUAAACUUGAGAUUAACUCGUAUCCACUAAUCAAGGAUAAUAAAAUUACACGAUCAAUGUACUUUUAUAAAUAUUGUUAAGUAUUUUUAUAUAUUAUUAAUAUUGAAAUAAAAAUAACAUAAAAGAGUAUUAUAGAGAAACUUAGUAGUUGAUUGUUUAGGAUUCUUGGCUUAUAAAAAAUAAGAUGGACUUCUUUUACGUCGUCAUUAUUGGUCACACUUGUCUUCAUUACCAUUGAAGCAAAUGAGGAGAAGAACAAAACGACAAAACAAUAUCAGAGAGAAAAGGAGAAAGAGAUGAGUGAUUCACUACGUUAAAGAGAAGACGAAGUGCAGAGGGGAGAUUCAAAUAAAUCUGACAACCUAGAAAUGAAUCUAAUCUAAUCUCAUGAGGAACAAAACAUCAUUCCCUAUAAAAAGUGAAAAUGCCACAUCAUAUGCUCUUUUAUUCUAACUAAUAAAAUUGUCCCCUUCUUUAUAUUAAUUGAAUCUUUAAUAUAUGUAAUUCUUUUUAAAUAUAAUAUAACAUUUUAAAAAAUAUAUCAUUUAAUAUACAUUACUUUCAUCUCGCUCGCCUCUCUUACAUCGCGUUCACCACUCUUCUAUGUUUCUGAAUGCAAAUCACACCAGAUACAUGUGUAUAGUGUAUAUCUACCGUGAUUCGCAUGUACCUGGAAUACAUAACAAAAUCUCGCUUGCUUCCCUCGCCAUCUCGCUCAUUUCUCUCCUUAUUUUUGUGUAUCUGGUAGCAAAAAUACAUGUAUGUAAGUGUAUGUUUCUCAGCAUAUGGUAGAAAAUUCUUAAUUAGUAGUAAUAUACACAAUAUUUUGAAAGUAUAGAUAAUAAUAAUAUAUAUGAUAGUGAAGUACGUCUAAUUAUGUAAUUUUUGUCCGAAAUAUCCUCAAAUAACUUCCAAAAACAAGGCAAAGAGGUUUUAUAGUCUUAAAAACAAGGUAAGUCACCUUAGAUUAUUUGGACAAAUAAGGUAAGUUGCCUUAGAAGUUUUGGCCAAAUUAGAUUUAUUCAUUUCCUAUUUUUUGUUGAUUCUCUCUUAUACAAUUUUAUUCUAUUGGAUUGUCUUUAAUAUUUUUAUAACAAUGCGUAAUUCUGAUAGAUAAAUAUGCCAUAUUUACCAACAAGGAUCGUAGUAUAUGGAAAAGACCUUUUCAUUUUUAUCUAAAGAUUUCAAUUUAAUUUUUAAAUAUGAAAAAAUCUCAUAACGUAAAUUCAGAUAGUCAAAGCCUCGAUAAGAACACUAAGCAUCACGUGAAAAAUAAAAAAAAUUCAAAUUCAAUGAAUCAAAAUAGAUAAUAUAUUGACAAUAUCAUUAACUUGUAAUGUAAUUAAUAUGGAAGAAAAGUGAACAUACCUAAUAGAAAUAUGAAUAAAAUUCUUACCCGAAUUAAUAUGGAAAGAACUUACAAUGCGAAUCCGGAUAGUUAAAACCUCGAUAAAAACAUCUAAUAUCCUAUGAAAAAUAAGAAAUGUCGAAUUCCAUGAAUCAAAUCAAAUAAUAUACCAAUACUAUCAUGAACUUGAGACAAUAUCAUCAUGCAUGAACUUGAAAUAUAAUUCAUAUGAAAGAAAAGUGAACAUAUCCUAUUAGGAAUAUGAAUUAAAUUCUUGUUUGAAUUAAUAUGGAAAGAAACUUGAAAUACAUCCUAUUUACAGUAUGAAUCAAAAUCAGGAUGGAUUGUGGUGCAGUAAUGAAGCUACUCACUCUUCACCAAAGAUUUCGAGUUUGAGCUUUGAAUAAAAAAUAAUAUGUUAGGACUAUUAAAAGCCGAGUGAGAAAUAAAAAAAAUAGAAAGAAUAAAAGAUCUCUCCGUAUAGAUAGAAAAUUAAUAUGGUAUAAUUUUAAUUGCAAUGAAAAGCAGAUGCUCUUCCACUCUAUAAAUAGUCACCCCAUGAACUCUAUGUAUUUAGAGGAAAUUUUUACUUUACAAACAAUCAAAAAAUCAAAAUCAGCACGGACAAGCAAUUAAGAAAAUCAAAAACUACUCUUCAGGUACUUAAAACUUUUAUUUCAUAUUUAGUCCAAGUAAAUAUAAGUACAAGUAAAACAUUUUUGAAAGCUUUUAUAUUUUUCAUUACAUGUUUUUUCUUUUUCACUUAUCAAUUUUUUUCCUCCGUUUCAUAAGAAAUACAAAUUGCAAAGUCAACAAAUGAAUAAAUCAAGUAUAUAUCAUUUAAGAUGGUGUAAUCUCCCCUAACACUGGUGAUCAUUUUGAAGUUUUGACAUUAUUAUUAUAUAUAUAAAAAAAAUAUUUGGAAUAAACUUUGAAGUAAAGUAACUGGGAAGAAUUAGUACAUCAUAAUUAAAGCAAAUAUUUUAAUUGUUUUAACCUUUAAGUAACUGAGAUAUGUACUUUUGAUCCAUCUAAUUUUUAAUCAUAAAUUUUUUUACUGAAAUAAUAAUUAUUAAACAAUUUAAUUAACCCAUAAUAUGUCAAGUUAUUCCUACUCCACACUUGAUGAUAAUAAUGUUUUUUAAAAAGCUAAAUAUAUAAUAUAUUCAAUGUAAACGUAUUAAAACACAUACUUUUUUUUAAUUAAUCAAAAUUAAAUUUCCUUAGCAAAAGAAUUAAAAAAAAAGAGAUUAAAAUAUUAGUUUUGCAAUAACUUAGGGAUCCCAAGUGCAAUUAUCCCUUUUUAUUAUAGUGAGCAGUUCUUCAUAUGGUUUGAACUAUCAAAAGUUUUAUAAAAAUCAUAAAUUAUAAUUUCUAAUUUAUAGCUUUAUCUUAUAAGACAUAACGCAAAAGUCAAUCUAAACAUGAUCAUUCCUUAUUUCGACAAGACCCCAAAGUCUUUACCAUUUACACCUUUUUCUUCGAUUUAUUCGUUCCCUAAGUAAAGCCCUUUUCCGUCAUUUAACUUUGCUUAGCGUGUACUCUAUAAUAUAUGCUCUUCAGUCCAGUUUUUAUAAGCUCCACAACUAGAUUCUCCUACUUCACUCUCAAGUUAACGAAAACUGAAGCUUAAUAUAUUGAUAGCCCCUUAAAUUUGUGAGUAAAUAUUUAUUAAGACACUUAUAUUAUGGUAUGUUUCAAUUAAUUAAUAUUCAAACACAUGAUAAAGUGUUUAUAUUAGAUAUUUUUAAUAACUCAUAUUUUGGACGUGUCCAUUAUGUUGAUAAGUUAAUGACAUAAAACUGCCUCAUGGCAAUUUAUACACAUCAGCAUCAUUUGGAACAUGCAUGAAGUUUUCCUCCUUAUUGAGGUUAAUGCAUACAAUUAAAGGAGACGACAUAUUUUAAAUUGUUAGCUUAUCUAUGUAAAGAACGCUUGAGAACAAGCAUAAUGGUUUCCUAAAAUAAUAAGAGAUUUUUAUCAUAUUUAGAUGUUCAAUCAGGACAUGCCAUAAUUCGAGUGUCUUGAGAGAAAUUUAAUGGCAAGUUUAAGAGGUUGUCGAUGUAUUCUGCCAAAAUUAAAAGAAUUUAUAGUUGCUAACUUUCUCUUAGUGAAGUUACAAAAUGGACCGUGGGAACUACCAAUGUGGUGGCAGCGAUAACACCGGCAGGGGUGAGCACCAGAUAGGAGGUGGAAUUCAGCAGCAGCAGGUUGUGGAUGGUCCUCCUCAAUCUUCUGGUAUUAACUCAUACCUUGCUUUCUUGUUAUUAUUAUUAUUAUUAUUAUUUUGUUAGUAUUAUUAUAAUCUAUUUUCUUUAUAUCUUACUAAUUGUCUACUGCAAGUUAAUAUAUAUGUGGAUAGUCAUGCAAGCUUUAAACCGUGUUGUCUGCUUUAAGUAUGCUUUUAUUUGACAUUGAACUGAAUCAAGAUAUUGAAACAGAAAUAGAAAUUGUUUUAUUUGCGUGUCUCAGGUAAUUUUUUAUAAAUUCGUUAGAACAAUAAAAAUUCUAUGGAAACAUACCUGUAGUGAGUAAUAUAAUGCAACAAAUAAGUCUUUUAAAAUGUGACAAGAAAUACCAAAUGAAAUGUUUAGAAUAAUUCUUUUUAAGCAAGUUAUUGUAAAUUUAAUGAUUUAGUUGGUUGACUACUUGAACUUACAUCUUGUUGGUGAGGAGGGCUUGAUUUCUCACCCUUUAAUUUGAAUAUAAUAAAUACAAUGUCUUGAAAAAUCUAAUAGGAAAAUAAAUCAAAUAAGUAUAAUUAAUGAUACAGAUAAAUUAGAAACUAAGUGUAAAAUUAUCCAUUGAUUUCAUAAAGUGGACAAAGUAUUGUUGGACAUUCCAAAAUAAUAUAGUGGACAACUAUUGUUGAACGGUGAGAAUAGUAAAACAAAGAUAUAAGUGCUUCACUAUUUUAAAUAUAGCUAGAAUGAAUAGGACAACGUUCUGUAGGGCAUUCAUUCAUCGAACUAAAAAUAUCAAUUUAUAUGGAUAAAGAUGGAGUAAUAUCCAAAAAUAUCUUAAAGUUUUAAAUUAAAUAGUUAGAGAUUAUGAAUUUGAAAAGCAUGAGAGCUCUGAAUGUUUAAGAACAAUAAUUUUGAAUAGCUAAUUAGAUAGUAUUAAUUAUGAGAGUAAAUAUUUGAAACAAACAAAGGAGAAAAAUACUAGAUAAAUUCAUUCUUUUAGAAGAAUAUUUUGUAAAGGAGAAAGUGAAAAUGUAACAUGUUCUAUUUUCUAUCUAAUCGGUCACUGGCACAAAUUAAGAUGAUCCCAUAUAUAAGACUUAAAAUGAAAAAAAAAUAAAAAAAUGAUGAUGGUAGAGAUUCGUUCUUCUUCUUCUUCUUCCAAAUCAAGGAAUAUUAAAGGUUGAAAAAAUAAUAAUUGCUCUUAAAAUUAAUUAACGUUAAAUUCAAAGACCUCAAGAAUAUAUUAAAUUUGUUACAAAAGAUUAUACAAAUGCCAAAACAAAAACAACGUACAGGAAGAUCACAAUAUUGAUGUUAUUUAACAAAAUUCAUAAUUCAACUUGUGACUCGAUACCUUCCCUCUUUUAGCCUUUAGUAUAUAGUACUAUAUAAUUAAAUUUAAUAAGAUAUCAUUACUAUUUAAUAUUUAGUUAAUUAGACAUUUCAUAAUAUUUUGAUUUAGUAUAGAGACAAAAUGAUAAUCCAACUUUACACUUUGCAACUUCCCACUUUGUAUAUAAUAUGAUUCAUUCUUAUAUGGUAUGUUCGUUCAUUUUAUGUCUGCAUAAGUACACAACUGUUAAAAUGCACUGUAUUUCUGUGGGGCAGAUGUUGAUGUGGGGUCCCUGAAAAUUACAGAACAGAGUUCAUCAUCCCUUCCAGAACGUGUACCUGAUACUGGAAAAAUUGCUGUCGAGUCAAUUACGCUGCUUGCUAAUCAUUUUCCUGUUAGAUUUAAUCCCCAGUCUAUCAUUAUGCAUUAUGAUAUGGAUAUUCAACAUCAGCCGGUAACAGACAAGUCUGAUCUCCGUCAGAUAAGAGAAAAGUGGUUGACGGAUAAGCCUGCUGAAUUUCCCUGUGAUAAAACUGGUAAGAAGAACAUUUUCAGUGCUGUUCAACUUCCUACUGGCUGUUUCACUGUGAACGGGGGGGAUGAUGCUAUGGAACGCUCUUAUGACGUUAUCAUCAAGCCUGUUGCUGAAUUACAACUUUCGAAGCUGAGUGAAUAUUUGAGUGGACAUAUUCCUCGUGAUGUACAAGGGAUGGCGUUGUCCUUAGAUUACUCAGUCUUGGCACUCCCGGAACCAAUGCUAGUGCUAGACUAUCUGAAGGAAUAUCUUAAAGAACCUAACGAAGUUACUUUCAAGAACAACCGUCAAGCUGCACAGGUUGCAUUAAAGGGUUUGAAAGUCGGAGUAAUUCAUCGUCAUACCAACCAGAAGUUUAUUAUUAAGGAACUAACUGACCUCGACACUCAUAAACUCACUUUUCCCCUUAGAGAUCCAAAAGGCAAAGAUUCCACAACCGAAGUUUUUCUUGUUGACUACUUCAGGGAUAAAUAUCAGCGGGAGAUUCAGUUCAGGGAUUUUCCUUCAUUAGUUAUUGGAAAAGGUAAUAAGAUAAACUAUGUCCCCAUGGAAUUAUGUGUCUUGGUUGAGAAACGACGGUAUCCUAAGGAGGAUUUGCAUAAGGAUACAGCCUUGAUUUUGAAGAAUAUAUCACUAGCCCAACCCCAACAGGCAAUAUGUGAAAUGGUACAGGCUAAAGAUGGGCCGUGCGGGUAUGUGAAUUCCUUAAAUAUGUGUUAUUCAUCUGAGAUUUUGUUGCUUCCUCUUGAAUUUCUUCUUUCCCACUCCAUGUGAUCAAAUAUCAUGGAUUUAAUUUCUCUGCCUUUUAUGUGUGGUUUUCUUGGCUUGCAUGUUUGUUGUGGCUUCAUUUAUGGAGUUUCCACUUUUUGUUGAAAUAGUACUUGAGUAGUUUUUCUGAUUUCUGUUGUAUUUUUAAAUGAAAACUUUAUGGGGUUUUGAAUGGUAAUUCUUAGUAAGCUAGCUCAUCCUAUGGCUGUCUUGCUAGUUGAGUCUCUUCUAGAUUUUAAGGGCUUGUUCUUCUUGAUGUUUUCAUUUGAGCAAUGGUCUUUCGGAAUAACCUCUCUAUAUAUCUCCAUUAAUUAGUGGUAAGGUCUGCGUGCAUUCUACCCUCCUUGUGGGAUCUCACUUGGUAUGUUGUUUGCAUCAUGAGUUUGUUGAUGAUAUGCUGAUAUAUGUUAUUAGCAUCUGUUGUUACAGAGUUUCUUUUUUCCUUCUAAUUUUCAAUUGAUUAUUGCAGGGCUAUCACCGGUAAUUUUGAGAUUGGAGUUGAUAGGAACAUGACCUGUGUUCUCGGUCGUAUUCUUCCUCCCCCUGAUUUGAGGCUAGGCAGUCAAAGUCGACAUCAUGUGAAUGAUAAAUGCCAGUCGAAUCUUGUUGGGAAAUCUGUGGUGGAAGGUAAGGAAAUUCGACGAUGGGCUUUGAUAGAUUUUAGCUCUAAGAAUGACAGGGACUUGAAGCGACAAGUUGAUGUAUUUGUUGACAAAUUGAAAGAUCGGUACUUAAGGUUGGGUAUUAAUAUGGAAGAACCUGCUGUAAAACAUUUCACACACAUGAAUGAACUCUCUGCAGUUGGUAAGGUUGAAAAACUCCUCAAUGAUGUAGUUAAUGAAGCUAGCCAGAAAAACAAGGGUAAACUUCAAAUGAUAGUUUGUGUUAUGGCAUCAAAGGAUAAUGGAUACAAAUAUCUUAAAUGGGUCUCUGAGACCAAAAUUGGCAUUGUAACCCAGUGUUGCUUGUCUUCUAAUGCCUACAACAAUGCAAAGGAUCAAUUUCUUGCAAACCUCUGUUUGAAGAUUAACGCAAAACUUGGAGGCAGCAAUAUGGAACUUAUGGAAAGACUCCCUAAUUUCGGAAGUGAAGACAAUGUCAUGUUCAUUGGAGCUGAUGUUAAUCAUCCUACUGGCAAGGAUAGUGACAAAUGUCCAUCCAUAGCAGCUGUUGUUGCCACCGUCAACUGGCCAACUGCUAAUAGAUAUGCCGCUAGAGUUCGUCCUCAGGAACACAGGACUGAUAAGAUUCUAGAGUUUGGAAAAAUGUGUAAAGACCUAGUUGAUACUUAUGCGAAACUCAACUCGGUUAAACCAAACAAAAUUGUUGUUUUCCGUGAUGGUGUGAGUGAGAGUCAGUUUGAUAUGGUACUCAACGAAGAGUUGAAGGAUUUGAAAGAAGCUAUAUACGAAAGUGAUAAGUAUCGACCAUCAAUCACUCUUGUUGUGGCUCAGAAGAGACACCAUACGCGACUAUUUCCUAAGGUGGGAAAUGUGCCUCCGGGAACUGUUGUGGAUACACAGAUCGUUCAUCCAUCUGAUUUUGACUUCUAUCUUUGCAGCCACUUUGGACAGUUGGGUACUAGCAAGGCAACUUACUAUCAUGUUCUACAUGAUGAUAAUGGCUUCAGUUCUGACCGCUUACAAAAGCUUAUAUACAACAUGUGCUUCACUUUUGCGCGGUGCACUAAACCUGUUUCACUUGUUCCACCAGUUUACUAUGCAGACCUUGUUGCUUACAGGGGACGGAUGUUCCAAGAGGUGCUUAUGGAGAUGAACGCUUCUAGCUCUACAACUUCAUCUGUUUCAUUUGAACAAAGUUUCUAUAAAUUGCACAAUGAUUUACAGAACAUAAUGUUUUUCGUCUGAUGGCAGACCCGUCAACUUUUUGAUCUCCUUCACCAUUCCCACACUGGGGAGGAGAUGAUUGUCUACAUUUUGGAGAUGCCCAUUUCCAAACGCAUUUGAACCUCCUUUUCGUCGUCGACGUAGCAAAGGAGUUUGUGCGUGAAUCUAAUGGGAUUUCAUGCUUCUUUUAUUCUUUAUGGUGUGAGUUUAUGCAUUGAUGUCUUAAUGCUCUGACGUUUGAUUAUGUUUUAUUUACUUUGAGAUGUUUUGUGUUAUGUAUUCUAAGACAAGUUAAAUUUCGUCUUAAUAAAUUUGUGUUUGAGUUAUUUGAUGUCUCUCUAUUAGUUAUUCAAUGUGAUAGCAUUUUCUCACUUCGUGUUUUCCCAUAUGGAGCUAAUGGGAAAAUACACUUAAUAUAAUAUUAUACCAUCAAUCUAACCGACCAUUCAAGUUAGGAUUGUAAAAUGGCGGGUUGGGGAUCACGACUCGUCUAAUUUGACCUAUUUAAUUUCAAUAAUUUUAACAUAUUAUUACUUGCCUUUUAUAAUUACAACUUGAAUUUCAAAGAAAAUAAAAAGUAUAAGUUAGAAAACAGAUAAAUUCUAAAUGAUAUAAAAUAGAGUUGAAUCAUCCCUAGUUCAAGUGAAAAAAUUAGAGAGACUCACUCCAACGAAAAAAAAAGAAAAAGUAAUUCGAAAUAGUAUGAGGACAAGAGUUUGAACUUAUAUACGAACAAAGAGUUUUACACUAUAACUCAGUAAAACUAUCCACAAGCAACAUCCAAAAAAAAAAACAAAGAGGUUUUAUAAUCUUAUAAACAAGGUAAGGUAAGGUGCCUUGGAAGAUUUGGCCAAAUAAGAUUUUACCGUUUCAUUUUUGAGAUAAGUGGGUUAAAACACACCUAAAUUAUACCUUUUUUUUUAGUUUCAUACCCAAACUAUUGAAAGUGUGAGAAACACACCUAAACUAUUUCACUUUAGUUUGAAAAACACACCUCAAAUGAAAUAUGAUAGUGUGUAUUACACUCUCUCAAUUUUUUUUAAAAUGCCACAUAGAUUGCCACAUGGAAACAAAUUCCACCAUGUCAAAAGAUUAAAGUUUAACCUUCAACGUGUAGAAGCAUCUUUCUCUGUUUCUUAGCUGAGUCUCUUUGGUGUGUGAAAAUUUUGAGUAAAUUAGGGUUUUAACUAUUAAUUCACAAAUUCAUCAUGGUUUGAAGGUUGGUUACUCAUUUGUCAAAAAAUGUUAGGGUUCUAAUUUUUGUCUCAAAAUAUUAAUGAUUUUGUAUAAUAUUUUAGGUUUUGAUUCAUACCAUCUUAAAAGAGUUGAAAGGAGAAGAAAUUGACUACAUAAGGUACUCUUUCUUUACUCCUGAACUUAAUUUUCGUACUGGUGGCGAUUUUUAGCUACUGAUUUCAUGAACAAUAGUUGGCUUAUUAAACUUUGCAUAUUUCAAUUUUUCUAAGGUAAUGGGCACUAAGUACGUAAAUUUGAGGUUUCACAUCGGUGGUAUACUUGUGAGUGAGGUAGGACCUGCUUAUAUUGGGGGGAAAAAGAAUAUGCCUUCAAUGUUGAUAUAGACCAUUUUUCUAUUCUGGAAGUGAAUGACUAUUGCAGGGAUUUUGGGUUACCAUAUAGAAAAUAUAUAUAUUGGAGCUGCUCAAGUUGACAAUUUGGUAGAAUUGGUUAAAGAUAGGGAUUUGUUGGUCUUAGCCAAUUUGUUGGUUGCUGGGGGUACUAUGGACAUUUAUAUCUGCCAUAAAGGGGAAGUUUUUAUCAAAACAGCACAUGUGACCAAUGAGUCUUUUGAGACCACAUGCAAUGAAGUUGAUAGACCUAAUAAAUAAUCUACCAACAAAGCUGGUGAAGGUCUCAAUGCACCUUUAGGGAAAGAAAUAACAUUUAUUGAUGGUAGAGAUCAAAUUGUCGGGGUCCAACAAUCAAAUCUGAUAGAAAAUGGCAGCAGAAACACAAAUGAAGUUGAAGAUGAAUAUAAGUUUUCUAGUGAAGAUGAAGAUUCAGAGGAAGAUUCCGUAGAAAUUAUUGUGCAUAGUGAUGCUGAAAGUGAUGAGAAUGUUGACUUUUCUAGUGACGAGGAUGGUUAUGGGAGUGAUAUUCAUGAAGAGCUGAGCAUAGUUAAGAAGGAUUUGAAAGCAUAUUUUGAAGAAAAAAAAAGAGCCCAAGGAAAAAAAAAAUUGCUGAGUGUUUUCUGGGAGAAGUUGGCAUAGAUCGUGGUUUUGAAGACAUUGAUAAAUCCAAGAAAAAUUUAACUGGUAAGCUAGUUGGUGAUGAGCCUUUUUACGACAGUUCUGAUGCCGAUAGUUUUGAAAGUGAAAGUGAGGGGGAAAUAGAUGUUGAAAGAUCUGAUAUUUUAAGGGCAAGAAAGAAAGACAAAAGGGUCUCAUAUGAUCUAACAAUGAAAAAAUUUGUGUGGCAACUUAAUAUGGUAUUUGAAAAUGUGAAAAAAUUCAGAGAAGGUUUGAGCAAGUAUGCAAAUUGAGAGAGGUUGUCAACUGGAUAAGAUCCACAAUGAUCAAAGAAGGGUCAGAGUAAAAUGCAAAGCUAAUGGCUAUCCUUGGAUACUUUAUGCAAGCAAAGAUUUCAAAUCUUCUGAUUUCAUUAUAAAAACCUACAAUCCUAGACAUAAGUGUUAUAAGACCAAUACCAACACAAUGUGCUACUCUAAGUUUUUGGCUAAGUACUAUAAAAGUAGAAUUGUUUCUCAACCUUGCAUAAAGGGAUGUGAAAUGCAAGAUUUGGUCAGGAUAGACAUGGGAUUGUAUGUUGGUAAGUUCGUGUGUUUGAAGGCCAGAAAAAUAGUGUUGAAAAAGAUAAUGGGUGAUCAUGUUGCCGAGUUUAGUAGAAUCUAUGACUACAGAGAUAUGCUUCUUGAAUCAAAUCCAGGAAGCACUUGUGUGGUGAAAGUGACAAAUUGUGAUGAUGGAAAAAAAUUCUUUCAUUCCUUUUAUAUUUGUUUUUCAGUUUUGAAAAAAGGAUUCAUUGAGAGUUGUAGAAAGUGCAUUGGGUUAGAUAGUUGCUUUUUGAAGGGAAUAUCUAAAGGCCAGCUACUUGUUGCUAUUGCAAAAGAUGAGAAUAAUCAGAUGUUCCCAAUAGCAUGGGCUGUUGUUGGAACUGAAAGUAGAGAAACUUGGACUUGAUUUUUGAGAAUCUUGAAAUCUGAUUUGGACAUUAAUGAUGAAGGAGAAGGAUUGACUAUCAUAAGUGAUAUGCAAAAGGUACGAUUUUUAGCCUCUGAUUUCAGCUAUUUUAGCCAAUAUUAGCUGCUAUUUUCAGCUUUUUUAGCUACUAAUUUAAGCUCUUUUUUAAUCUCUGUUUCAUCUCUUAUAAUCCAAUUUUAACUAUUGAUUUCAUGAUUUUUUAGCUGAUGUGUUAUAAGUAGUUUUUAACUAUUGAUUUCAGCAUUUUGUAAAGACCUUUUGAUAGUCCAUAACAACAUUCUAUCUUGUCCAUAAAAUUAGAAACUCUAGCGGUACUUUGUUAUUCAACUUGUUUAGCUACUGUUUUUUUUUUGCUACUAUUUUCAUCCCAUUUAGCUUUAGUUGUUAAGUGAUUUUAGUCUUAGUUGUGCAUAUUCUUCACUUUUGAUGCCACACUUGUAUUGGAUUAACAAAAAUACACUACUUUUGGCUAAUUCAACAUUCCCUCAUUGACAUUUUUGAAGAGUCCAAGCAACAUAUAUUUUAGUUAUUGUUUUGAGUGAUUUUAACCACAUAAGUUUUUCAAGGAUUAUAUUUAGUUGCUCAGGAGUUGCUUCCAGAAUGUGAACAAAGAAUGUGUGCAAGACAUAUACUGCAAACUGGUCAAAAAACUGGAAAGGUGUUGAGGAAAGAAAGAGGUUUUGGGCUUGUGCUAGAUCAACAUUUGAAGAUGAACUCAGGAAGAACUUGGAUAAAUUAGCACAAUUAGGCAAAGAUAUUUCUAAUGACUUGGCAAACUUCAAUCCUAAUAGAUGGUCCAAAAGCACAGUUUAGGACAUCCUCAAAAUGUAGACAAUGUGGAUAACAAUAUGGUUGAAAGUUUUAAUGCUUGGGUGUUGGGUGCUAGGCACAAGACUAUCAUCAAUAUGCUUGAAAAAUAAGGAAAAAGGUACUGAAUAGAUUCACUAAAGUGAUAACAUUUGUAAAUAGUUGGACUCAUGACAUAUUUCCAAUGGCAAUGUUGGUGCUAAAUACAAAUGUGAAGAAGUCAAUGAGGGUGGAAAUUAGUUGGAAUGGUGACAUUGGGUAUGAAGUGAAAGAUAGUCCAUAUAUACAUGUGGUUAACCUAAUUCAAGAAACUUGCACUUGUAGAAGUUGGGGAUUGAAAGGGAUUCCUUGUGCACAUGCAAUAGCAGCCAUACAUCACGAUGAAGCUAAUCUCCUUGACACGAUUUGUAAGUGGUACAAAAAAGAAACCUACCUGAAAGCUUAUAAACAUUUUUUACAACCAGUAACAAACAUAAAGAUGUGGCCCGAGACAUCGAAUUCAAAAGUUGAGCCACCUCAUGUUAGGAAAAUGCCAGGAAGGCCUGGUAAAAAAGAAAGAAGGAACUUGGAGAGGUACCAAGUGCCGGAAAGCUUCCAAAGAGGGGGAAAAUCGUGAGUUGCUCCGCUUGUAAGUCAAAAGGUCACAAUAUAAGAACAUGUCCAAACAAACCUCCAGCCACUUCAGAGGUACAUUUGAUUUCUAUUAAUGUUUAUUUAUAGUGUAUUAAUACCGUUAACACUUUCAAAAUUAUUCUUUGCAUAGGGUAUUACUACAUCACAAGCAUCUGCCAGUAGUAAAAGAAGUGGCAAGCAAAAAUCUCACCCCACUCAAGCAGUACAACAAUCUCAAUCUUCUGAACCAUCUCAAGCAAUAGUGCAAAGUGACAGUGGUAAUAGAAAAGGUGCAAAUAAUGCAUUUAAAAGGCCAAGAGUAGUGGGUCAUGGAGUAUUUGUGAGCAAAGAUGAUUUUAUUUGUGCCGAGGUAAAAACGAGAGUUAAUAAUCUUAUAUUCUUAAUUAAACUUCUUAAAAAUAAUUUAAUGACUCUUUAUUACUUUACAACAAGGAAGAUCUAUUAGUAGGGUAAUCAAGAGUGGAGCACAAGAGAAACUGAUAAGUUCAGCUAUUGUCACCGGUGACCUUGGGUAUGCACCAAGUAAAGGUCUUAAAUGAAAGGGGAAAAGUGCUAUCACAGGAAGACAACUUCAACAUAAAAGUGCUUUGCUUAGACAGAAGAACAUCAAGUCACAAACUUCAUCACAAGGUGCAACAAGAACUGAAGGUGUUUAGGGAUGAUGUGGCUGAUUUUCAUGUGGCUCGAACUAUUUUUAAGUCGCGUAUUUUGGUUGUGAAUAGGACGAUAUCGACUUUUAGUUGUGAACUUUGAUGUUACUAAACACGGUGACUAAUUUGCAGCCCAAGUAGUUAUUGUAAGCUACUAAACAUGGUGACUGAUUUUUCAUGUGGUUCGAACUGUUCUUAAGUCGUGUAUUUUGGUUGUGAAUAGGAUGGUAUCGAAUUUUGGUUGUGAAUAGGAUAGUAUACUGAUUUGCAGCCCAAGUAAUUUAAUAUCGUUGUAGGUUGCUUGGCAAAUUGAAGCAUUACUUGGUUUCAGUGUUUCUAUACUAUACAAACUAGAGCCGAUCAAUUUUUUACUUCGAGCUACUAAAAAUGCUUUGGUGACUUCUGUCCUUAGGUGCUCAUAGUUGUUUAAAUAAUCGUAAUCAGAAAAUUAUUGAUGAAGUAGUCUGUAAAAAGUGACAAUUCAAUAGAAAGAAACUAUGCUCUAUUUGGUGGCAUAAUGAUACCACAAAUAUAGUCUAACUAGUUAUUAAACAAACAAAAAAAAUAGAAUCUGAUGUCAUGGACAAUUACUCACUCCUCAAAUUAUUAAAGCUACCAAAGGGCGUCGUGGAUUCCUUGUAUGGCAUCAUUGAUAUACAAAUAGCAGUCCCUUUUGAGCGAGCUUAAGCAACUAGUGUAACAUAUAAUUUAAGGUAUGUUUCUCACUCUCCUAAUAGUUUAGGUGGGAAAGUAGUCAAACAAUUUUAUAGUUUAGGUGUAUUUUGAUAUUUUAUUUUUUGAAAAAGAAGAAGCCAUGCGGACGAAAAUCAAGGCCACACGCGCGCAAAAGAGUGUGUACACACACAUUUGGUCCAGUCAGCACAGAGGUGUGCUUUUCAAACUAAAGUGUAAUAGUUUAGGUGUGUUUCUCACACUUUCAAUAGUUUGGGUAUGAAACUCAAAAAAAUGGUAUAGUUUAGGUGUGUUUUAAUCACUUAUCUCUUUCAUUUUUUUGUGUUAAUUAUCUCAGGUACAAUAGUACUUUAUUAGUAUUUUUAUAAUAAUAUGUAUAAUUCUAAUAGAUAAGAAUGUCAUAUUUAUUAAGGAUCGUGAUAUAUGGAUAAGAUAUUCCCACUCUUAUUUGAAGUUCUUGAUAUAAAAAAAAACUCAUAAAGCAGAUUCGAAAAAUUAAAGCUUUGGUGAAAACAUCACUCAUUACAUAAAAAAUAAAAAUAAAAUAUCAAAUUUAAUAAACCAAAACGGAUAAUAUACCAACACUAUCCUGAAUUUGAAAUAAAAUUAAUCUGGAAGAGAAGUGCACAUAUGCUAUUAGGAAUAUGAAUAAAAUUCUGGCCUAAAUUAACAUGAAAAGACACUAGAAAACUUCCUAUUCAGAAUAUGAACUCUUAGUAUUUUGGAGAAAUCUUUUAUUUUAAGAAUUAUUUAUUAGCGAUGAUGACAGAUAAUAAAAAAUUUCGUUUCAAGUACUUAAAACUUUGGUUUUAUAUUUAGUCUAAAACUCUAAAUACAUUUAAGUGCAAGUAAAUCAUAUUUGAGAGCUUUUAUAUCUUUCAUUAUACAUGUUUUUGAUAUUUGUCUUUUUUACUUUAUCAUUUUUUCCCAAACAUGUCAUAAGAAAUGCAAAUUACAAAGUCAACAAAUGAAUAGAUCAAGUACACAUCAAAUUAAGAUGGGUAUAAUCUCCUUUAAUACUAAUUGUAAUCAUUUUUUAAGUUUUGACAUUAUAUAUAAAAGUAGUUAUUUGAAAUAGACUUUGAAGAGAAGUAAUUAGAAAGAAUUAGUACAUCAUAAUUGAAGCAAAAUUAAAUUUGCUUAGAAAAAGAAUUAAAAGGAUUAAAAUCUUAAUUUAACAAUAACUUAUGAUCCCAAGUUCAAGUAUCCCUUUUAGGCUUCCUUAUUCCAUUUUAUAUUAUACCAUAUUUGAUUAAACACCAAUUAUCUGAUACAAUAAAAUGAUUUUAGUAAACUCUCUUAUGUCACAAUUUCAUUAUAAAACAAAUUUCCCUCUAAGGUUGUAGUAAUAAUAAUAAUAAAAAAGUAGACAUCAAAUCAACUUCCAACAUUUGAUUAAAAUAAAAAAUAUUUAAAAUAGGUAUAAUUCAAAUUUUACAAUUAAGAAAUAAACACAAAAAAUUAUCCGAUGUAUUCAAACAAAGUAUUUAAUUUAUUUAAUCUAAUACUCUGUUUGAAUGCUCGUUAUAUAUUGUAUUAUAUCAUAUUGUAUCGUCUCAAUAAAUACAAUAUUUAAAUAAGUCGUAUCAUUUUUUAAAAUUAUAUAAUGUCACACAUGAAUAAUAAACUUACCCGAAAAAAGAAAAAUACGAAGUAGAAGUAUCAUUAAAAUUUAGAGUAUAUAUGAUAGAAUUAGAUAAAUAAAAGUUAAUAAGUAAAAGUAAAAUCAGAAAAAAAUAUUCAAAGUGAGAUUUUUUAUAAUUUAACAAUGGAAUGGGUAAUUAUAUUUGCGUUGCAGCAUUUAACAGUGUCACUGACAAGUCGAGUACGUAGUCGUUGUAUUUCUUCACCAAUAACCAGUUUUUCCUUGUCCACUACUUCAUCCAAUUGAUUAAAUACCAAAACUACCCUCAACCCCAAAAGAUUGGAAGAUAAGACACCGAAUAAUUUGUUCUACUAUUUUGUCGUUUAUUUAACAAACAAAACCUUAUAGGGACUAAAAGGUCAAUUGCAUGCAUGAAUUUAUCCACUCACUUUUCGUGGAAUCGUCCUUUUUUCGUCAUUUAGCGUCUACUCUAUAUACUCAGCCUUGAGUCGAUUUAUUUUAGCUCAACUUCAUCAUUCUCAACACAAAAACUUUAGAAGAAUUUACAGUUGCUAGUUUUCUUUCUCUCUUAGCUAAAAAUAAUACUCAAGUUAGCAGCAAAUGGACCGUGGAAGCUACAACGGACGUGGUGGAGGUAACCGUGGUCGUGAUCGUGGUCGUGUUCGUGGUUACAACGAACCGAGACAAGGCCGUGCUCGUGGUUACAACGAACCGAGACAAGACCGUGCUCGUGCUUACUACGAACAUGAACAAGUCCGUGCUCGUGGUCAGCACGAACAGGAACAAGGCCGUGGACGUAGUGGAAGGGAUGGGUUUCAGAUGAGUUCAUCUUCAUCUAACCAGCCGAGGCCAUCGGGUCAGCAUCAGUUUACUGAGACUGGGGCUCCGGAAAAUCAGCCGGUUAGUCAGACUCCGGAAGCUACUGUUAUUAGUUGGGCCGAUAGACUCAGAAGAGGUGUUGGUACUGCUUCACCACGGCCACAACAGCAACAGGGUAGAGGCGUUACAAGCACUGUUUGGGCACGGCCACAACUGCAACAGGGAAGAGGCGGCGGCGUUGGGCAGCAACAUGGUGGUGGAAACCAGCAGCAGGAAGGUGUGGAUCGUCCUCCUCUUCGAUCUUCUGGUAUUAACUCAUACCUUGUUAUGAUGUUUUUCUUAGUAUAGUCUAUUUUCUUUAUAUUGUUAAGUUAACAGCAUCUUGCAACGUACUUGUUUAUAACAUGCAAAAACUAGGCAAUUUUCUAUGAGUUAGAAGUUUUGAUAUUCAUGAUAAUUGAUAGCUGUUAUAUCUAUAUCUGAAGCUGUAAAGUAUUGUUUUAUUUAGCGUUGAACUGGAAUUUAAAUUCAUAGGUUUCUGUAUAUUAUGAUCUAUAUUUGUUUUGUUUUUGGUUUAAAAUAAAUGAGUAAUUUUCAUCUGCAAGUUCUUCUUAUGAAGCAGACCUGUAUUUUCUUUUUUUUUUAUUAGCUCACUAGUUUUAUGCAUGUCAACAUUCUUAAAAUGCACUGUACUAUUUUUGUGGGCAGAUGCUUCAGUUCUUCUGGGGAAAAUCAAUCUGAAGGAUUCAAAAAAACGUGAACCUAUGGGACGACCUGAUGGUGGAAACAAUUCUUACAAGUCGAUUAGCCUGCAUGCUAAUCACUUUCCUGUUAAAUUUAAAGACGGGACUAUCAUUUUGCAUUAUGAUGUGGAUGUUCAACAGGUUGAUGAGAAUCAGCCUGGGAAGCCGGUAACAGAAAAGUUUGAUCUCCGUAAGAUAAGAGAAAAGUGGUUGAUGGAUAAGCCUGCUGAAUUUCCCUGUGAUAAAACUGCAUAUGACGGUAAUAAGAACAUUUUCAGUGCUGUUGAUCUUCCUGCUAAGCCUUUAACUGUGAACUGCUCUGUUGGGGAUGAUGCUAAGGAAUGCAAGUACACGCUUACCUUCAAGCUUGUUGCUCAAUUACAACUUGACAACGUGACCGGAUAUAUGAAACGAAACCUCCAGAAUAUUCCUCGUGAUGUACUACAAGGAAUGGAUUUGGUUAUGAAAGAAAAUCCUAGAAGGUGCAGGAUUUCUGUAGGUCGUUGUUUCUACUCUAACAAUGCUUACAAAAUUUUUAAUCGCGGGGUUGCUGCACGUAAAGGUUUUCAGCAGAGCCUAAAGCUAACAUCUGAAGGUCUUGCGUUGUGCUUAGAUUACUCAGAACUCUUGGUAAUCCCGGAACAAAUUUCAGUGAUAGGCUUUUUGAAGGAAUAUUAUGGAGGAAUUAUUGAAGACAUUUUCAAGUAUAGAAGAGCAGCUGCAAGUGAUUUAUUGGCUGGUUUGAAAGUCAAAGUAACUCAUCGUCCUAACAAGCAGAAGUUUGUUAUUAAGAAGCUAGUUCCAGGAGAAACUCGUGCUCUUACAUUUCGCCUUCAAGAUACCGAAGAGGAGGUUUACCUUGUAGACUACUUCAAUGAUAAAUAUACCUGUGAAAUUCUGUACAAGCAUUUACCUUCACUAGAUAUUGGAAAAGGUGAGAAGAAAAACUAUGUCCCGGUGGAAUUCUGUGAAUUGGUUGCGGGACAACGAUUUCCUAAGGAUCGUUUGAAAACAGCCUCGCCUAAACCCGAAGAGAGAAGGGGGUUAAUAUGUGAGACGGUACUGGCUACAGAUGGGCCGCGCACGUAUGUGAAUUCCUUAAAUUUCUUUUGUGUUUUCUUCUGAGAUUUUGAUGCUUCCUCUUGAAUUUCUUCUUUCUGACAAUAAAUAAAUGUGGUUGAACUUUUUUGAUCUUCUAUGGGUUGGUUUUCUUUUCUUUCAUUAUAGAGUAAGUAUAUACAUUUCAUAAAGUAUAGGUGGAUAUUGAUUGAUACAGUACUUAUGUUGCAAACUAUACUCUGAUUAUCUAUGUAUUUCAUUUCUAAUCUUCUUUUUGGGUUUCUUUCCUUGCUUAGACAUUUCAUAAAUUACUGAGUUUAGAUCGUCAAUUUAUUCACUGUCAUCAUGAACUUAUUGAUGAUAUAUUUUUCACUUGAUUAUUGCAGGACUAUUCCCGGUAAUUUUAAGAUUCGUGUUGAUGACCACAUGACCCGUAUUUCGGGUCGUAUUCUUCCUGUCCCUGUUUUGAAGCUAGGCGGUCAAAUUCCACCUUAUUUGAAUGAUAAGACAUGCCAGUGGAACCUUGUUGGGAAAUCUGUGGUGGAAGGCAAGGCGCUUCAACGAUGGGCUUUGAUAGAUUUUAGCUCUAAGGAAAACAGGGACUUGUUGAAGCUACAAGUUGAUAAAUUUGUCUUGAACUUGAGAGAUCGGUGCAGAGAAUUGAGUAUUAAUAUGGAAGAACCUGCUGUAGUACAUUCUACUGACAUGAAGGAGCUCUCUGCAGUUAGCAAGGUUGAAAAUCUCCUCAAAGUUGUGGUUGAUGCAGCUGACCAAAAAAUAAAGGGUAAACUUCAAAUGAUAGUUUGUGUUAUGACAUCAAAGCAUAAUGGGUACAAGUAUCUUAAAUGGGUAUCUGAGACCAAAAUUGGAAUUGUAACCCAGUGUUGCUUGUCUUCUAAUGCCAACAAGCUACAUAAUCAAUAUCUUGCCAACCUCUGUAUGAAGAUUAAUGCAAAACUUGGGGGCAGCAAUAUGGAACUUAUGGAAAGACUCCCUAAUUUCGGAAGUGAUGACAAUGUCAUGUUCAUCGGAGCUGAUGUUAAUCAUCCUGCUGCAGGAAAUGUGAAAUGUCCAUCCAUAGCAGCUGUUGUUGCCACCAUCAACUGGCCAGCUGCUAAUAAAUAUGCCGCUAGAGUUUCUCCACAGGAACACAGGACUGAAAAGAUUCUAGAGUUCGGGAAAAUGUGUAAAGACCUAGUUCGUACUUAUGCGGAACUCAAUUCGGUUAAACCAAACAAAAUUGUUGUUUUCCGUGAUGGUGUGAGUGAGAGUCAGUUUGAUAUGGUACUCAACGAAGAGUUGAAUGAUUUGGUAGAAGCUAUAUACGAAAGUAAUAAGUAUCAACCAGCAAUCACUCUUGUUGUGGCUCAGAAGAGACACCAUACACGACUAUUUCCUAUGGAUGGAAAUGUGUCUCCGGGUACUGUUGUGGAUACACAAAUUGUUCAUCCAUCUGGUUUUGACUUCUAUCUUUGCAGCCACUAUGGACAGUUGGGUACUAGUAAGGCAACUCACUAUCAUGUUCUAUAUGAUGAGAAUGGCUUCAAAUCUGUUGAUUUACAACGUCUUAUAUACAUGCUUCACUUUUGCACGGUGCACUAAACCUGUUUCACUUGUUCCACCAGUUUACUAUGCAGACCUUGUUGCUUACAGGGGACGGAUGUUCCAAGAGGUGCUUAAGGAGAUGAACUCUUCUAGGUCUACAACUUCAUCCUCUGAAGCUUCGUCGUCAUCAUCUUCUCCAAUUGACUCAUUUGCACAAGAAUUUUAUGAUUUGCACCGUGAUUUGCAGAACAUAAUGUUUUUCGUUUG
rnacentral:lncRNA from 1 species